rnacentral:rRNA from 2 species
CUUUUAAAUGAUUUGAGAUGGCCUCUCGCCCUAUUCAGUGUAACAGCUGUGGUAGUGGGUUUGGUCGCUCGCAUUUAAAUUGGAAGGGUAAUGGUGGACCGCACUUCUCCCUUAGUAGGACGUUGCGACCUGUCAAAUAAUAUUCUAAGUAUUUGGCUAAUUUGUCUGUUUUUAGGCAGUACUGAAAGGUAUUUCCUUUAACAGUUUUAGCCAUUUAAAUACUGGAUAAAAUUGACAGUAACGAAUCAUGGUGUUGAGCCACUUGAAAUUGUAUAUUUUAUAUGUAUAAUGGAAAGUGUCCUUGUGGCUGUUUGCAAGUGGGUUGGUAAUUAGUUUUAGUCGGAUUUUGGUCCGUCUAGCUAUUCCGCCUACUGUUGGUAAACUGUUCCUUGGACAGUGCUUAUAACACCGGUCGGCAGCGAUUCAGGUUCAGGCUCUUAUCCGACCCGUCUUGAAACACGGACCAAGGAGUUUAGCGUGUACGCAAGUCAUUGGGUGUAUAAAACCCAAAGGCGCAAUGAAAUUG